AGUUGUUUAUUGCAGAUCUGAAGGGGGAAGGUUUCUUUGCUCCCUUAUUUGGAUUGAAAACAAGCACAUAAUGUUGGGUGUGAAUCGGUUUCCGACAUCGCGUUUAUUCAGGUGGAUGGCCUUGCGCCACUCUUCCAGCAACCUUUUUGUUGGAGAUAUUUUUGCCAUACGUUCGAGUUGAUGAUGUCAAUUCUUGUGCGGGACAGAUUGAAGCAAAGUCGCGAUGUGGAUUUGUUGAAUAUUCAAAUAGAGAUGUGGCAAUGGCAGCUAUAAAAUGCUCUUAAAUGGAAUUUAUAGAAUGGUUGUAAACAGCCGUUGAUUGUUCAAUUUGCUGACCCUAAGAGACCCAAGCCAGGAGAAACGAGGGUUCUAUUCCUCGGAAUUCUAAUAUAUGAUUAUUUACAAAGCGUUAAUCCAUCGUUGGAGACUGGAAAUGCUAAAUUUGGAGCAUUCUGGACGAGACCGCAGAUCAUCUCCUCAUCGAGUGUUUGGUCUCUAAAAUUUUAUGGUGGCAUGUGUUGGUUUGGAUUAAGACUCUGCUGCCCGACAGUUUCAAUAUAUGUUCUUCUUAUAGGCCGUCUUGGUAGUUAAAACUUAAUUUUUCUUUUGGGGGGGGAUACGGCUUGUUUUAUAUGCGUGGAUCUAUAUGCAUGGAUCUCGAGAACAACUCCAAAGAAGAGAAAAACUCAACCUACUGUUGCACUGCUGUAGAUGCUGAGCUAUAACUUCUUGUUGCAGUUACCCAAGCUAAGCAACACCUAUUUGUUUAUUUUUUCAGUUUGAAGAUAUUGGUUCGCAUGAGACAAAGAUAAUCAAGAGGAUCAUCAAAUCCAGUUUUAUGGCGUCUAAGCACUCAUAAACGACAAAGUGCUGGUGGAAUGCAUAGCAAGUUACCUAACAAGAGGAUCAUCAAAUCCAGUUUAUACGACAAAGGCUUUAACAGGUUUUUCGUGGCAUCUAAUACCUGUUUGAUGGAGAUAUAUUUACAAGGCUGACAAAUAACUGGGGCAGAAAAUGGCUUCACGCCUCAACGUGCGCCCUGACUUUUAAACUGAUCUACACGUCAUUACAGGAAAGGGUCUCUCUCGUUGUCUGCUAACAAGAAGCAUGGUUUUAUCAUCACUGCGUUGUACUGUUUUAAUUAUGUAAUGUUUUAUGAACCUGGGACUUAGAAUAAAAGCUUUGGAGUUACUGUUUUAAUUAUGUAUGUUUUAAUUAUGUAAUGUUUUAUGAACCUGGGACUUAGAAUAAAAGCUUUGGAGUUCCAGGUCAAGUUUGAAUCUAGAAACAUGUGGCAUGCAUGUGGUGUAAGCUACUUUUUUAUAUGUAAUGUAAGUAAUGUUGUUUAUGUUGA